rnacentral:rRNA from 1 species
UACGAAGGGGGCUAGCGUUGCUCGGAAUUACUGGGCGUAAAGCGCACGUAGGCGGCUUUCUAAGUCGGGGGUGAAAUCCUGGAGCUCAACUCCAGAACUGCCUUCGAUACUGGAGAGCUCGAGUCCGGGAGAGGUGAGUGGAACUGCGAGUGUAGAGGUGAAAUUCGUAGAUAUUCGGAAGAACACCAGUGGCGAAGGCGGCUCACUGGCUCGGUACUGACGCUGAGGUGCGAAAGCCAGGGGAGCAAACGGG